rnacentral:rRNA from 1 species
AACAAGGAUUCCCCUAGUAACUGCGAGUGAAGCGGGAAAAGCUCAAAUUUAAAAUCUGGCAGUCUUUGGCUGUCCGAGUUGUAAUCUAGAGAAGUAAUGCCCGUGCUGGACCGUGUAUAAGUCUCCUGGGAUGGGGCGUCAUAGAGGGUGAGAAUCCCGUCUUUGACACGGAUUACCAGUGCAUUGUGGUAUGCUCUCAAAGAGUCGAGUUGUUUGGGAAUGCAGCUCAAAAUGGGUGGUAAAUUCCAUCUAAAGCUAAAUAUUGGCGAGAGACCGAUAGCGAACAAGUACCGUGAGGGAAAGAUGAAAAGAACUUUGGAAAGAGAGUUAAACAGUACGUGAAAUUGCUGAAAGGGAAACGCUUGAAGUCAGUCGCGUUGGCCAGGGAUCAGCCUUGCUUUUGCAUGGUGUACUUUCUGGUUGACGGGUCAGCAUCAAUUUUGACCACUGGAAAAGGCUCAAGGGAAUGUGGCAGCUUCGGCUGUGUUAUAGCCCUUGUUCACAUACAGUGGUUGGGAUUGAGGAACUCAGCACGCCGCAAGGCCGGGUUUCGAC